rnacentral:tRNA from 1 species
GGUCAACGGAUAGGCCUUCAGCUUGCGGAGCUGAUAAUGACAGUUCGAUUCUGUC